rnacentral:rRNA from 1 species
GACGAACGCUGGCGGCGUGCCUAACACAUGCAAGUCGAGCGAAUGAAGUUCCUUCGGGAAUGGAUUUAGCGGCGGACGGGUGAGUAACACGUGGGCAACCUGCCUCAUAGAGGGGAAUAGCCUUCCGAAAGGGAGAUUAAUACCGCAUAAGAUUGUAGUAUCGCAUGAUACAGCAAUUAAAGGAGCAAUCCGCUAUGAGAUGGGCCCGCGGCGCAUUAGCUAGUUGGUGAGGUAACGGCUCACCAAGGCGACGAUGCGUAGCCGACCUGAGAGGGUGAUCGGCCACAUUGGGACUGAGGCACGGCCCAGACUCCUACGGGAGGCAGCAGUGGGGAAUAUUGCACAAUGGGGGAAACCCUGAUGCAGCAACGCCGCGUGAGUGAUGACGGCCUUCGGGUUGUAAAGCUCUGUCUUCAGGGACGAUAAUGACGGUACCUGAGGAGGAAGCCACGGCUAACUACGUG